UACGAAGGGAGCUAGCGUUGCUCGGAAUCACUGGGCGUAAAGGGUGCGUAGGCGGGUCUUUAAGUCAGGGGUGAAAUCCUGGAGCUCAACUCCAGAACUGCCUUUGAUACUGAAGAUCUUGAGUUCGGGAGAGGUGAGUGGAACUGCGAGUGUAGAGGUGAAAUUCGUAGAUAUUCGCAAGAACACCAGUGGCGAAGGCGGCUCACUGGCCCGAUACUGACGCUGAGGCACGAAAGCGUGGGGGAG
rnacentral:rRNA from 1 species